GCAUCAGUAGCGCAGUUGGUUAAGCACGCACCGCUCCUGGAAAGGACGAAGUGCGGGUUCGAGUCCCGCGUGACGUG